UAGGGUUAUUCCACAGUCGUAUGGUUGAAGUUAUACAGGAUAUUAGGUUCAAUGACAAAGAACAAAUUCAUAUGUAAUGGCCGGCCGAGUGUAUGGAUGGAGUUUAAUGAAUUUACACAAAAGGUAAUACUUACAUGACUCUAUGCUGGGUACUACAGAAAACUGGACGAAAAAGUAAAGAAUAGAGAAAAUAGGCAAAAAAACAAAAUAAAACAGGAUAGUGCA
rnacentral:lncRNA from 1 species